rnacentral:rRNA from 1 species
AACGAACGCUGGCGGCAUGCCUAACACAUGCAAGUCGAACGAGACCUUCGGGUCUAGUGGCGCACGGGUGCGUAACGCGUGGGAACCUGCCCUUAGGUUCGAAAUAACUCCCCGAAAGGGGUGCUAAUACCGGAUAAUGUCUUCGGACCAAAGAUUUAUCGCCUUUGGAUGGGCCCGCGUUGGAUUAGCUAGUUGGUAGGGUAAAAGCCUACCAAGGCGACGAUCCAUAGCUGGUCUGAGAGGAUGAUCAGCCACACUGGGACUGAGACACGGCCCAGACUCCUACGGGAGGCAGCAGUGGGGAAUAUUGGACGAUGGGCGAAAGCCUGAUCCAGCAAUGCCGCGUGAGUGAUGAAGGCCUUAGGGUUGUAAAGCUCUUUUACCCGGGAUGAUAAUGACAGUACCGGGAGAAUAAGCUCCGGCUAACUCCGUG